UGUUGUUGUUGUUGUUGUUGUUGUAACUGCAGUUGCUGCUGUUGGUUGACAUAGAGGUUCAUCCCUGACAUCAAUUUUGGUGGACCCAUAGGCCCCAUUGCACUCCGUUGCAUUGGGUUCACAUUAGCUCGGUUCAGAGACUGGCCCAGCAUGGAAAGCCCAGCAGAACUUGGGUGCAUCUGCCUGGCUCCAGACAUUCCACUUAUGCCUGACUGAGGGGCCCCUAGUACACCUGUUCUCUGUACCAUCCUAAGUUUUGAAUUCAGCAGAGCCUGAGUCAUUUGUCCAGCACGGAUUUGCUGACUUAUCGCAUUGGUAAAAUUUGAAGUUUGGCCCAGAUUCAA
rnacentral:misc_RNA from 1 species